rnacentral:rRNA from 1 species
AGCGAACGCUGGCGGCAGGCCUAACACAUGCAAGUCGAACGGAUCCUUCGGGAUUAGUGGCGGACGGGUGAGUAACACGUGGGAACGUGCCCUUUGGUUCGGAACAACUCAGGGAAACUUGAGCUAAUACCGGAUGUGCCCUUCGGGGGAAAGAUUUAUCGCCAUUGGAGCGGCCCGCGUCUGAUUAGCUAGUUGGUGAGGUAAAGGCUCAACAAGGCGACGAUCAGUAGCUGGUCUGAGAGGAUGAUCAGCCACAUUGGGACUGGGACACGGCCCAAACUCCUACGGGAGGCAGCAGUGGGGAAUCUUGCGCAAUGGGCGAAAGCCUGACGCAGCCAUGCCGCGUGAAUGAUGAAGGUCUUAGGAUUGUAAAAUUCUUUCACCGGGGACGAUAAUGACGGUACCCGGAGAAGAAGCCCCGGCUAACUUCGUGCCAGCCGCCGCCGUAAAAC